rnacentral:sRNA from 1 species
AUCACACCACUGCACUCCAGCCUGGGCGACAGAGAGAUCCUGUCUCGGGGGGAAAAAAAAGAAAAGAAACUCUAAGGACUAGCAAGCCCGAGUGGGAAGCUCUUUGGAGGGUUUUACAGGAGGCUGAGAAGCAAACAACUUGCUCCAGCUCCAGGUUUUGAAAGUGCAGGGCCUCAGGAGAUUUUGCUGUGUUCUCCCCACCUGUAGCUAGUGAUGACCUGGAACUUCUCUACCACAUCCCAGAAUUCAUCCCUGAAGCUCGAGGAUUGGAGUUCCUGAUGAUCCUAGGGACAGAGUCCUACACCAGCACUGCAAUGGCCCCCAAGGGCAUCUUCUGUAACCCGUACAACAACCUGAUCUUCAUCUGGGGCAACUUCCUCCUGCAGAGCUCUAACAAGGAAAACUUCAUCUACCUGGCAGACUUCCCCAAGGAACUGUCCAUCAAAUACAUGGCCAGAUCGUUCCAUGGGGCUGUGGCUAUUGUCACAGAGACGGAGGAGGUGGGCUGCCCCGCCCCUCUCCCCAUUCCCUCUCUGCCCACCCCCAAACCCCAGGGGCCUCUCUUU